UGAGCAUUCUGAAUUUCUUGUCCCCUGACUAGGCCCCCUCCAAACACUGUGCUCCAGAGGAUCUGAAAGAUUCCUCCCAGGAUGGUGAAGAGCAACUGGAAUAGCCCCACGAACAGCAUCCAGAAAAAGGAGAAGAGCACCUUCACCAGCUCCUUCGCAGUCAUCUUUUUCACGUUCCUGUACUGCUUCCUGAGGUUCUUCAGGGUUGCUCUCUUCAGGAAGUCGGUGACAUUCCUCUUCACAGAGGCACAGGCCAUAGCAAAUGCAGAGGCCGGCUCAAGAGACCCGUCUUCUUCCUCUUCACCCGCAAUUUCUAACACGUAAGAAGAAUCUUCAUCUUCUUCCUCCUCUUCUGGCCUGUCAGCUGAAUCGGAUUCAGAGAUCUGAGAUGCUAACUGCAUUUCAAAGAUGGUGUCCUCACAGAAGUUCACAAACAGCUCCAUCUUUUCCUGCUCCCCACCUUCAUUGACAACAUCAAAAAUGAACUGUCGCUUAGAUUCCUUCACCUGGGGCUUCUCCCACUGAGUGCGACUGGAUUCACUGAUCUCAAAAUAAACACGCUCAAUCUUCUUGGCCCCACCCAUGAUCUCGAUGCGUCCUAGGUAGGGUUCGAAGUAAUUUAGCACACUUUCUGCUGGGUCCAACAGACACUUCAGGCGGGAAUCGUUUGGCAUGUGUUCAGAAAGAUUUGUCAAUAACACAGCCACAUUAAACCCUAUGUCCUUGGCUGGCUCAUGGAACCGGUCUACAAAAUCAACGUAAUUAAACAUGUCAUUCUCAUCAGCUUCUGCACACGACAGGAGAAAGUCAAUCUCUGACUGCGUGUACUGUUUUUGCCCUUCCAUGGCCUUCUGGAAUUCUUUUUUGGAGAUAAUUCCUUUACCAUCUGGGUCAUAUUCUUUGAAGGUGUCUGAGCUGGUUAAGUCUUUAAGUUUCAAGAACAUGUCAAAGAAUUUCAAGAUCAUUUCUACAUUGGUAGAUGAUUCUACCAGUGUGUCAAC
rnacentral:lncRNA from 1 species